rnacentral:rRNA from 1 species
CAGCCACCGCGGUAAUACGUAGGGUGCAAGCGUUAAUCGGAAUUACUGGGCGUAAAGCGUGCGCAGGCGGUUCGUUAAGACAGAUGUGAAAUCCCCGGGCUUAACCUGGGAAUGGCGCUUGUGACUGCAAGGCUAGAGUGCGUCAGAGGGGGGUAGAAUUCCACGUGUAGCAGUGAAAUGCGUAGAGAUGUGGAGGAAUACCGAUGGCGAAGGCAGCCCCCUGGGACGAGACUGACGCUCAUGCACGAAAGCGUGGGGAGCAAACAGGAUUAGAUACCCCCGUAGUCCCUGUCUCUUAUAC